rnacentral:lncRNA from 1 species
UAACCAAUUUAUCCUUUUAACAGAACAUGGUUUGAUGAAAGGAGGGUGAUGGAUGCGCCAUGGGGCAAGUCACCUGGAUUGUGUCGUGUUGGGAGGGUGAUGGAUGUGCCAUGGGGCAAGUCCGUCUGAUGAAUGGUGUGGACGGAAGAGCGACAAUAACUAUGGGGUUGGUCAAAGGUUGAAAGAAAUCUCUUAUGUGUCUUCGGUCUCGACACCACGUGUAGGUAGCCAUCAUUGAUAAUACAAACUUUGAAAAGUUUGUUUCAAGGUUCAUAACUCUGUUGUCAAUGGGGAAAAUGUUAUCUGUUUCAAGUGACAAAACAAACUACUCAUAGCAGGUUCAUGUGAUGUGGCGUAUAAAAGGUCGAACGUCAAGACGAUCAGGUGUAUGUAUCCAAAAAUAUGCUUUUGUGGAACUAUAUAGGUUCUUUGUCUCACACUGCUGUUGUGACUUUCUUUUCCUGUAUGAAAAGUACACUAUCUAUAUCAAACUUGAUGUGGAUUGAUCGACCUUGCUCGCUUUUGGCACAAGUAUAUAUUUCCAUUUCCUAUGAACUUCCAGAUGAAUUGUUC